GCAGGCGUACGCCGGCGUUGUAAUGGUGCGGACACAGUGACUGCCCCUUCCUCGCCUACCCAGCCGGAAGGAAAAGGAAGAAUUUCAGGGCGAGUCACAGGUCAGAGGUCAGGUUCAGCUGAGAGGGUGGCAAGGCUCAAUCUGGUUUAAAGACUUCUCAGGAAGGCAGAUGCUUACUAACGUGGGGACUUGAACACAUGCUCACUGUGCUGGACCUAAAGAACCCUUCAUGUGAUGUCCUGAGGGAAAUAAUGGCAAAUAGAAGGAGAGCGGGAUGCAGCAUCUGGAACUGACUGUGAAAUUAACGGGAGACGCGUUAUUCCAGCAUGCUGCUUAACCAGUGUGAAAAACAGAUAGUGACAGCGAUAACGAAGCAGGUAAUGAAAUAGGUUUUCAUAAAGAUUUUGAGGCUGGAGCUGAUGACGAGACUAUUUCCCUGGAUUUGAUUCAGCUGUUACUCCAUCUGGCGUUUGAGCACCUGAGCUAACACAUGGAUCGCUAAGGAUACGAGCAAUCUUGCUUGGCAAAUCCUGGACACAAAGACUAAAAUCCUGAGACUAUUUGCAGAGUCAUUGCUUUGACAGAUCAAGGGAGCUGGGAAAUAUAAACAGAGCAUAUUCUGUAAUUGCAGCAGCUCUGGCCUGUGUGCUGAUGCCACCCUGAAGGCCCUGCUUUGAUGG